UACGGACUUGAACCGUAGACCUUCUCGGUAAAACAGAUCAAACUUAUUAUUAUUAAAAUGAUCUGAACUGUUUCAAAGACCCAACAUGCAUUUUUUUUGCAUUGGGCUCUUUCAUUAACUGAUAUUUAUAGCAGUUAGUCUGCCAUUUUUUUUCUUGACAGAAAAAAAGAUAAGGAAAUGGCUCCAUGUGCUCUGAUUCAUUAUUUGGGAGCAUUACCAAAGUGUUUCAAAGGUGGGAUUAUCUUGACGUAGGUCUGUCUCUGGCCUAAAUAAACCUAAGUUAAAUGAAGUCUCUAUCGUUUCUGCUUAAAAAAUCAAAUAUGAAACUUCAUACACCUUAAAGUUCAUAUGACGAAAAGAGAUUUUUUUGAGGUCCUUAUACUCUCAUUAUGCCUAGCAUUGAAUAGACUGGGUAUUCACCUUAUCAAGAUCUCAAAUCAAUGAUGGGGUCUGUUUGGCACCUCCUAAAUGGACGUCCAAAUUGGACCGAACCCUUUGUCAGGCUAUGGUUCCCUCAAAGUUAUGGAGUAAGACAUCGAUUUCUCAACAAGAUCGAUUUUUCUGAUUGUAUGAUGAACUCCCUUGAAAAACAUUGGCGCGCGUGUAAACGAGUUGCUCUACCAACUGAGCUAUAGCCCUUAGUGCUUGUGAUACAUAUUUUAUCAUGUAGAUAAAUUCUUGUCAAGAUAAAUAUUCCAUGAUCCAACAUCAACAAUCUUUGAUCUCUUUGAGUGGUAUUCCUUAGAUUAGUAUUGCUUAUUAGAUUAGUAUUGCUUAUAAGUAAUAUGAUAUUUAUAAUCCAUCGACAGGAUGGGUUUCGUUUGGUUCUCUUUGGAAUGAUAAAUGACCUACUUAACUCAGUGGUUAGAGUACUGCUUUCAUACGGCGGGAGUCAUUGGUUCAAAUCCAAUAGUAGGUAAAACUUAUUAGAUACCAGAGUCAAUGGUAUCUAAUAAGGUUUACGACCCACCUUUAGUGAUAUUUAUUUUUUGAUUUUGUAUCUUUUCUAUUUCAUUUUUAAAUUUGAAUUUUUGCAUCAGAAUUGGCUUCUGUUUGAUUGUAUUUGAUUGUAUUCACCCGACAGAAUCUAAAUAGGAUUAGAAAGAGAACUUCUUUUUAUUAUUCGAACGUACUAACUAGUCGUACUAACUAGUUAUGAAAUCGGAUUGAUAGCCUCCACCCGUAUUCUAGCUCGUCGGAGAGCUAGAUUUGCCUCAAUUUUUUGUCUUAUCAUUGUUAGUACAUACCAAGGGAGACAUCAAGACAAAAUAAUGUUAAAAAUCGAAAGUUACAACAACAACAUACCCAAUGUAUUUCCACAAAGUUGAGUCCGGAGAAGGUCGAGUGAACACAGUCCAUACCACUACCUCAUAGACGUGGUGGAGAGGCUGUUUCUAAAACAUUAAAGGAGAACUUAUGAAACAAAAUUUUAAAAAAUUAAAAUAAAUAUUUUUAUGUAGGUACCAAGUAAAACGAGACGAAGGAAAUACUCCUAAGAUAGUAUGGGGAAGAACAAAACUUUCUUGAUUUACUAUUUCUUUCUCCGUUUAUGUUUACUUGUCACACUUGAUUUGACACGCUUAUUAAGAAAAUAAUGAUUAUAACAAUGAAAUACCAAGUUCGUUCCCACAAGUAAGGUCUUGGAAAGAUAGAAUAUACGCAGAUCUUACCACUACCUCGUACAGAUAGAAAGACCCUCAACCCUAGUGCAAUGAAACUAAGUACAAGAAAAAGAAAACAAUGAAGUACGUAUAAUAAUUAAUAAGAAAAGCAUCACAAAUCCUACACAUAAAAAAUAAUAGCAACAGUCAAUAAUGAUUGACAUGACUAUUUUACCACACUAUUUCUAUUAAUUGAUCUUUAGUGGUGUUACAUAUGAAAAAAUGAUUGAAAAUAAAUAACUAAUACUAAGAAUAAAACUUUUAAGAAAAAAUAAUUAAUGCUUAGUAAUUAUCAACAACAUUACUUUUAAGAAAAAAUAAUUAAUGCUUAGUAAUUAUCAACAACAUUAAUACAGGUGGUCAUUUGUAUAGGUGACAAUCAUGGCUACAUAAUAAAACUCCAAAAUUUAUGAUCAAAUCUUGAAUCUUGUAUUAAUCAAUCUGAUUUUGAAAUUGCCCUUAUCAUUUUCUUGGGUGAUAAUUGUGAUUGAGGUCCAAACAUACUAGUAAAAAAUCAAUGAAGUACGUCGUCAUGAUGUGUCAUGUCAAGGAUAGAGUUAUUUACUGCAUAUGAUUGUGAUGAUGAAAAACUGACAGAUAUCUCGUAAAAUUAAUGUGUAAAAAUUGACUCGAGCAUCACGAUCAUUAAAAAAUAAUAGUAAUAAAUAAAUAAAUCAAGAAUCUCCAAUCUUCCAAUUUUUACUCCAUCAAUACACACAGACACACAAAUGUGUAAAAAUUGACUCGAGCAUCACGACCAUUAAAAAAUAAUAGUAAUAAAUAAAUAAAUCAAGAAUCUCCAAUCUUCCAAUUUUUACUCCAUCAAUACACACAGACACACAAAACAUCAAAAAAAAAAUGGAGGACAAUAAUCCACCAACCCCCACAAAACCAAGAGUAGUGAUUUGUGUAGGUGACAUCCAUGGGCAUAUAGAAAAGCUUCAAAAUUUAUGGUCAAAUCUUGAAUCUUGUAUUGAACCAUCUGAUUUUGAGACUGCCCUUAUCAUUUUCUUGGGUGAUUACUGUGAUAGAGGUCCAAAUACUAGUAAAGUUCUUGACUUUUUCAUUGCUUUGCCCUCAAAGUAUCCUAAACAAUCCCAUGUUUUCCUGUGUGGGAAUCAUGAUUUUGCAUUUGGGGCAUUCUUGGGUGUGCUUCCUAGUCCACCUGAUGGAACUGAGUUUUGUGAGACAUGGAAAGAGUAUGAAAUGAAUGAGGAAAGAGAAGGGUGGUAUAAAGGUGAAGGCUUUGAGAAUAUGCAUUUGCAAGGGAGGAGAUGGGCUGGGAAUCAUAGUGUUAAGUUUGAUGCUGUAAAGGGUAUUGAUUAUAAAGGGUCUAUUUAUGAUGCUGCUCCUACUUUUGAGUCUUAUGGUGUUCCUCAUGGUUCUGCUGGUAUGAUUCCUUUUUGUGUUGAAUGGGUUGCUUGUUCUGUGAUGGACUAAAAAAUUGGAAGUUACUCAUGAUUUCUGUUUUUACCUUCCUAGUUGAUGGUGAAUUUGUUGUAUAUUAUGUUUCGGUUAUCGCACUACUUUGUUGUUGUUAUUACUGUUUCCCUAUUAGUUGCUAUGUUUCCAUCACUGUUGUUGUUUCCUUUUAUACCUACUUUGAUUUGUUGUACUUGAGCCUAGGAUAAUUCGGAAACAGCCUCUCUACCUACACGAGGUAGGGGUAACGUUUGCCUACACCCUACCCUCCCCAGACCCCACGUGUGGGAUUUCACUGGGUAUGUUGUUGUUGUAGUUGAUGGUGAAUUUCAGACUACUGUGCUGGUUGUGAAAAUGGUUUACGGUCUUGUUUAUCCAAUGUAUUUCAUUUGAAGAUUCUUUUUCUAUAUAAUGAUAGUGAUUUUGGAUCAUUCUUCUUUAGCUGAUUGUAAGUUGAGCUUUUGUACUGGUCCUUCGGGGUGAUUCCUUUUGUCAUUAGCUUGUUUUUUGUCGUGGACGUGAUACGCUAUCACACACACACACACACCCCAACCCCCCAAUAAGUUGGUUCCUAAAUCCUAAUUAAAUACUUGUUCAAUCUACUUAUGGAUAUGCGAAGCAUUCAGAAGUUGGAACUACUUUGAGGUACCAUAAAGAGUAAGGGUUUUAGGAGUCGAAGUAAGACAAAGAGUAAGUUUAGAAUAAGUAGAACCAAUAAGAAAUAUGUGCAAUUUUAGUUCCAUAAGCAGAAUGAAGGUGAGGUGAGAUUACACAGGAUCGUGGUGCAUAAAUGAAGACAGUUCAGAAAUGUAAGCUCAAUCUUCCAGGAGAAUGACAUGAUAUACGAAGAGAUGUCUUGAAAUCGAUAUCGAUUUAGCUAAGAAUAGAAUGCGUGGAGCAUUAUUAAUUAGCUAGAUUAAGACUUAGUUGUUAUUUGCACUUACGUUAGGUUUGAUUUUUGCGGACUCUUCUUAUUAUAGUUACGCUGAAAUGUCCAUGUAGAAACAAGUGUGAGAUUUAGAAAGCCUCUAAUUUCGGAGAACUACUAACUUACUUUAAAAUACAGAUCAUCUAGUAUUGGGAAUGAAAUGAGUUCGUAUUGAGCGCAAUGGAUAUGUUGUAUUAAUAUGACCCGAUUCUAUCUAAUUUGUGUUUGCAUCUAAUGUUAUUGAUUGAUUGACUAUCAUAAUGCUAUCUUGAUUUUGUAUCAGCGGAUUAUCUGUAUCAAUUCCUUGUUGGAUCACCUUCAUUGAUUUGGGCGGUUAUCACUUAUAUUUUAUGAACUGCGUAACUUUGUAUUAUAUCAUAACAGUACAUGGGUUGUACUGAAACCUUAUAUACAGAUGUACUCCAAACUCCACUGCUCUAUGUCUAAAUUGAGUCUAAAACAUCAAUUACAGAGACGGUGUCAGUCGAGUAUAAUUGCUUACACCAAAAACACAACAAUAAGAUGUAGUUUAGAUUAACGUUCUGCACACUAUUUUCUAUGCUUUCAAAACACCUAGAAGUCCAUUUCUUCCAUGUUGCGCACCAUAUUGAAGCAAGGAUAAUUCUCCAUCUACCUCUGGCUUCGGCAAUAACGCUUGUCUCCUCGCAGCUUAUUAGAGCUUCAGCGACUCUCCUAGGCAUGGUCCAAGAUAUGCCUUUGAGAUUCAAAAACAUCCUCCAUAGAUGCUGAGUAUAUUUGCAGUGUAGAAAUAGAUGUUUUACUGUUUGAGGCUAAGGUGCUCGGAAUCUCCAAAAAUGUUGCCGCACCCAUGUCAGAUCCGACACACACCAGUCGACAUCUUUGAAGAAUUCGAGCAACAUAGGUUUGAGGUUUCCCCAUAUAGGAAACACCUACAACAUAAGGUUAUCCCGCUUUUCAUUACAUUAGCCUGGGUCAAAGAUGCUUCCUUAGCUAGCAGCCAUAUAAAACAUGAAACAUUUUAUGGAAUUCUGCAUUUCCAAAUUUGUGUCCACGAUCACGUAGGAUUCUGUUGAAUUGGUUGAUCCAUCAACCUGUAAGCUUCUCCUACUUUCAAUAUACCUCUGUUGUCCCCUUUCUACUAUAACACAUCCUCUUCGGCCUGAACUCAUUUGAAAUUUCCAACGGUGUUGAGGAAUUCAGCCACCCUCAUCACUUCCCAGUCAUUGGGUUGUCUCUUGAAGUUGAAAUUCCAUCCCCGUGUUGUCCAAAGUUCUGCUAUAGUCCUUUGUUGAAAAGGAACGAGGUGAUGUAUGUCAGGAAUUAGUUCAAACUUUGUCGUGUUUCUCUUGUUUAUCAUUGUAAAGUGUUCUAUAGUUGUUCAUAUCAUUAAGAAAUGUGUAGUAAUGUUUCUGCUUUCCUCCAAUUCGUAAAUAGGGGUGUAGUGUGACAUGCAGCUCUUGUUGAGUAGGAAUGGUCGUCUAGUGGUGUGUCAUACUUGUAUAUUUAUUUUUCUGCUUUCCUCCAAUUCGUAAAUAGGGGUGUAGUGUGACAUGCAGCUCUUGUUGAGUAGGAAUGGUCGUCUAGUAUAGGCGUUGUUCCUUCCUUUCAUGCUCAAGACUGUCCCCUUUUUUUCCAUAUUUGUGUUGAGUGGACUUCCGGAAAACUUGAUUGCUGAUAGUUCAAUCUACAGUUCUAUUACUCGUUACCAAAAAAGAAUGAGAAUUCUUUAUUCUUCCUAUUGCGAUAUUACAUAAUCAUGGUAUAAUCCUUUCGUUAAGAGUAAGGUUUUACUUUUUACAGAUCUUAUGAAGGUAGUUCCUGAUGAGCACAAGAAGUUCCUCGCCAAUUUGGUUUGGGUUCACGAAGAGGUAAGCUCUUUUGCCUUUACCAUUCUUCCGUUUUCAACUCUUUUUCUUCUGUUGAUCCAUCUCUUCACUUUUCCAUGAGCACUUUAACUAGAUUGCUUAUAUAGAUGUUUUAAGUUUGAUUUAUGCUUUAUAAAUGAACUCAAGAGUUCUCAUUGAUCGUGUCAUUGCAUAGCGUCAACAUGCAACAGUAGGACGAUUCAAAGAUUUGUAAAGUUUGUUUCGUUCUUUUGCUUUGUAGGACGAUGUUCCUAUAAAAACUGAGGAAGGAAUCAAAACGUGCAAACUAAUCGCUGUUCAUGCUGGGCUGGAGAAAGACAAAGCUGUUGAAGAGCAGAUUAAAACGCUGAAAGCGAAGGACACAAGGAUACCUAAGGUUACCGCCCUUAGUGGAAGGACGGACGUAUGGGAGAUUCCUCAGGUCACUUCUCUUAUAGCACUUCAUUUACAAAAUUUUCAAUGCGACUGCGAGUCUAUGUUGCUUGAACUCUUCAAAAGUGCCACUUGGUGCUUAUCGGAUCCUUCCAAAGUAUCUGAUACUGGCGCAAACACCAUUUUUGAAGAGUCUGAGCAACAUGAUUGGCUAGUCUAUGUUGCUUGAACUCUUCAAAAGUGCCACUUGGUGCUUGUCGGAUCCUCCCAAAGUAUCUGACACUGGCGCAAACAUGAUGUUUGAAGAGUCUGAGCAACACGAUUAGCUAGUCUAUGUUGCUUGAACUCUUCGAAAGUGCCACUUGGUGCUUGUCGGAUCCUUCCAAAGUAUCUGAUACUGACGCAACAACAUUUUUGGAGAGUCUGAGCGUAACUGGCGCUAUUCAUUACAUCAUGUCCUAUUCUCCAACAACUACAAUUGAUUGUUGUUGUGUUUUUCUGUUAACAGGAACUGAGUAAAACUCCAACGAUUAUCGCUAGUGGACACCAUGCGAAAUUGCAUAUUGAAGGCCAGAGACUGGUAAUUGAUGAAGGUGGUGGAUUUGAAGAUAAGCCAGUGGCUGCAAUAGUGCUUCCUUCAAUGGAAGUUGUAAGGGAUACUGAUCAUUUGGUGAAAUAGAUUAUGGUUUUUGUGUUAUGUUAUAUUUGCUAUAUGUUUGAAUCUUUAUUGAUGAGUUCAUAAGUAAUCUCUACCUAGAGAAUCAUAUUAUUAUGUUGUAGAUUCUCUACUUUUUGAUAUGUUAUAGAGGAGAUCUUCCCAUUAUUAAAACCAUGAACUUCGUUUAUACGUCGAAACACGGGCCUUAUGCAAUGGUAUAGUUGUCUCUGUGUGAUUUAUAGGUCGGGGUUUGAGCCGUGGAAGCAGACACUAAUGUUUGCAUUUGGAUAGGCUGUCUACGUAACACCUAGAGGCACGGCCCUUUUCCAAAUCUUGCUAAUGUGGAAUGCUUUGCAUUGGUCUGCCGCUAAAAUAGACUCAAUUAGUUUCUGCAAAAUGGUUUGUUCUCUUUUAGCUUGAUUGUGUCAAAAAAUAGUGUGGAAUAGCCUCUCUAUCCCACAAAGAUGGUGAAAAGAUCUGUGCGCGUUUUACCCUUAGAUCUUAUUUGUGGAAUUAUACUGUGUAUGUUGUUGUUAGUGUUGUACACACCAAAUGAGUUUUAUCAAAGCGUAUUUGAACAUCAACCCAAUCUCGCCAAAAAAGAAUACACCAUUACAUCUUUACCCCUAUCUCGACGUAAGAAGAAAAAGGAAAAGCAAGUACAUCCUUGAGAGAAUUUGUUCGUCAUGUAUAUACUAUAUAUAAACAAAUAGUUAAAGCGUGCGAUAUAAUAAGCAAAAAAAAAAUGAAUUGAUCGACUAUUCAGUGCAAACUCAUAAAUAAGCGAUUAUAGAAAGUUUAGAUGUAAAGUCAACUAGAAUUUGACAUACAAACAAAGCAAACAUGAAUAUUAAGGGGUGGUUUGAUAUACCGGAUAAGGGAAAUAACUCCGAGAUCCCAUGUUUGGUAUGAGGCGUUAAUUGAUCCUGGGAUUAUUUUACGUCAUCUUUUGUAGAAAAAUAGUCGGACUACUAUCCCAUAUAGAAGGUGCGACAAAAUAGUCCCGUAGGAUAUCCCAACUCAUGGGAAAUCCCUACUUUUCCCAUCCGGUAUACCAAACGACCCCUAAGUUGAAUCAACAAGAACCAUCUAUAGUGGAACAAAAAAAAAAGGACUAAUUUAAGCUCUAGAGAGUAAACUGCUAUGAAAUGUUUUAUUCAUGUCAAAUUACAGUAGUUAACAGCUCUAAGUAUAUCAACUGUAGAAUGGUAGUCCAAAGUCAAUUGCCUGAUAUAUAGUCAUAUACCAAAAAACCCAACAAAAAAAAAAAAACUAUUAAAUAUUCUUCUUACCUGCCAUUCCUCCACCCCAGCUCCCCAAACAUUUGGAGUGAGAGGGACGUUUUCGCGCAGGUUGCCUCUCUUCUCUUCGCUUCUCCCCCGAAAAUUGAAACAUCAUGUGACCGGGGAAAUUUAGGAGAACAAAACAACUAGCCGAGAAAGGAAGUUAGUCGGCUUCUGAACCAGAUUCAUCUGAGCCUGAACGGGCUGAUCCAUUGGCCACGGCUCCUUUACUCGUUUUUUCCUUUGCAUCUUCUUCAUCUUCGCUGUAUUCACUUUCAUAAUCAUCGUAAUCUUCUUCUUCUUCUUCCUCGUCCUCUUCAAUUCCGUCCUCCAUUGCAGGUGUCUCAUCUGCUGCGAAUCCACCUCUGGUUCCAGCUCUGCUGCGUUUCAUAACCUUUAACUUUAGAUUCGACUUUGCAUCACAACCAAUCCAAGAGUCACAUAAGCAGAAAGAGCUCAAGUUGUAGUUUCCUUCAGCUGGAGCUUGGAACUUCCCCAUUACCAGUCUUGAACCAUUUUUCACCUUCUCGAUUGCUUCUUUAACGGCAGCGUUUAUUUCCCUUGGAGUUGCACCAGACCCUUCCUUCAACUCCUGAAGUGUUUUCGAUACAGCAAUUAUUGCUGUAGCUUCAUCCAUGAAACUAACCUUCUGAGAGAGCCACACAUCAUUCGAAAAGGAGUCCGCAAGCAUCAACCAGAAAUUCUCCUCUUUGUCAAAAGGAAAAUACGGACAAUGGGGAAGGGCGCGUAUCAAGCCACUACCACGCUUAAUAGUGACCCAAGCAUGCAUGGUAACGAUGUCGCCCUCUUGAAUUCCCUCCUCGCCUUCGGUCUCACAUGCGAUAUCAAUUGUCACUGACGGCAUCAUUUCAAGAACCAUCUCCACAUCGUGGGAUUCACUAUUGGAGAACCCAGCAACUUGAGUCAGCAGAUCAGCACGUUCAUCUGGUGUCAUGUCGCGGAAGUCUUGAAAUGUACGAACUUUCUGUACAUGGAAGAAAGCGUUAGGGAUAUCCAAAACAAAAGACUUCACUUGGCAAAGCCCGUGCUAAUCCUUACUAAUCAAUACAAGCAUGCUGCCACAUGAAAGAAAGAAGAAAAAACGGAGUAUGCCACAUCAUUUACAUCACAGGUAAAGAAAGAAGUUGCUUCAGUAUGAAUAAGAAAAACAUGGAAUGUUAACACACCAGGAUAAAUUAACCUGAAAACCACAUAACCAAUGUACAUAUUGGCUCCUUUAACUAGGACAGUCCACGGUAUUCUAGUGAAUACAGAGGAACACACCAUUAAAGAAAAAUAUUCCAAGGUAAUCCCAAAAGACCUUGUAAGAUUAUGACUCAUUGUUUCAUAAAUGUGAUGCACAAGGGAAAAAGAAGAAACUGAUUACAGAUGUCAUUAGACUUCACAGGGAAAGCAUUCAUUGCAUAGGCUUGCCACUGUGACACAUAUGUGACACACACAAAGCAAGUGCCAAACUUUAACGAUGGGAAGUGUAAAUUUGUAACAUGCUAAAAUAGUUAACUCAAAAUUAACGGAACGCCACUUGAUCACAAAAACCAAGGAAAGCAUCUUACAGGACAUUGAGUAGUCAUAAAAGUGAACACCAUAUGACUUAAGUGUACAAAUCAAAACAUUUCAACCAUUAUUGAGUAAAAGUUAGUUUUUCCUGAUAUAUUACUGAGAAAAAGUUAGUUUUUCCUGAUAUAUUACUGAGAAAGUGAGAAUAAUAAUUAUCACAGAUAAAAUAUUGGAAAUAGUCUCAUUCCUGAUGAUGAAUUGGAAGCACCAAUCAGAUAAUCAACAACAAUCUCAUUCCAACAUUCAGUAAGAGGCAGAUCUGUUUAGAAAUUUUGAGGAAGAGAUGAAAAGCAAUAAUUGCAACCUUUCUCGCAAUCUUUUUAACAACAGCCUCGCUAAAGUGUGGCAGCUGCAAAAAUGGUGCAUACCCUUCACUGGAUCCACCUGCUGCUUUCCUUGCGCUGAGAGGUACUGCCUGCAUCAUUAACAGUAAAAUGCCUUAGAAAUGAGAACCAACUGUGCCGGCAAUGUGCAUAAAUGAAUCUGAGUAAUAUACUGGACUUCCAAGGUCCUAAACCUUUUUAAAAGGGAUGGAAACAGCCUCCGACUCCCAAACAAGUAACUGUUGGAAGUCCAAAUUUUGUGCAUAAAAACCUCAUCAAAACAACUGAGAGAAAUAAAACGAAGGCUGACAAAACAUUCAUCUUAUUAUCUUAAUGCAUCAAUCUCCACAAUAUUUGACAGAAAACAAGAAUAAGCAGUGAUGCUCGUAUAAAUGUGUAUCCAUGAUUAUGACUUCAGUUAAUAUAAUUGAAAUACAUUAAACAAGUACAAAUAUAGAGACAACAGUAGAUGAUUACAGUCAAAUGAUAGUUCAGGUACACAAGAUGAUAUUCAAUAAGUUAUCACAAAAUUUACUGUUCUCUUGCUCUACUGAAACGGGAAAGAAGAGUAAAAAUUGAUAAGAAAUGUGUGUAAGACGGGAUGCGCACACUUGCACAUAAUAGAUGUAGAAAUUAGUGAUGAUUUUUCAGAAAAGAACUGAGUCUCUAGAAAACCUAACCUGAACAACACUCUGAGACAGUUCCAUCACUCCUAUUGCAGGUCUUAGCCAUCCAUGCCCCACCGGAGGGCGUGGAAUAAUAGCCAUCUGAAUGCAACAAGACAAACUCCUCCCGUUACCAUAGCAACUCAUAUUAUGUUAAGCAACAAAAAUAAACGUGAGAUACGACUUGAUAAAGAUUAAAAGAACAGAGCAUAAAAAGAAUGAAAAGCUGGAUAUUUUUAUGCCUAGGUUAUAAAACGUCAUUGCCCCUCCUCUCUCCCAUGCACAGCUCAAAGAAAAACAUAAUCAAUUUGGAAUUCUCUGAAGUGAACAAUCCAACAGCAAGCCACUGUUUAAACCAUUUAGGGAACAUUACUUGCAUGUGACGUCAUUUCCUAGAUACUAUGUAUAGCCACAUCUUCACAAUUUUAGGAUGUGCCUACUAUUUUUGACAUAGUAGUACAUUAUUCUCCUUCACUCCUUGUUUUCUUUCUCCUAUUUCUUGCUAUAUGUGUUAAUUUAUUUCGUAGUUGAUUAUGCUCCAGAUAUUUGUUGAUUUGUAAUGGUUAGUUCAUACAGAACCAGAGUAAUACUGGAGUGAAUCAAGUUGAUCCUACACCUCAAUACUAUUCCUAUACACUCUACCAUUUGAUCCCUAACAGAAGUAGUAAGAGUAUAAGACUAAAAACAGGAAGAAUGGUGAUACCUUCAUCAAUUCUUCCAGAAGCCGAGGUGCGAGUUCAAGAACGCGUUUGAAAUCACGCUGUAAAGUUGGAGACAAGGAUGCCGUCUCACGCGUCAAUUGAGUUUGAAGCAACAAUUCAGUCUGCAAGCAGAGAAGUACUUAUGGCUAUAUUCUUAAAGGACAGCCCUGACAAGGCUUUUUGACCCCGGAAAAAAAAAUGAAAGAGACCACACAUGCCUUUACUAAAGCGGGAUGCUGCUUCCAAAACUUGGCCUGUUCUUGCCGAAUAUUCUUAAGAUCCAGAUUUAGCUCACUCCUAACUAAGACAAACAGUCUCUGCAGAGGUUCUUCAUCAGACCGACGGACAGGAAUAUCCACGAAUUCAGAAGCCUUAAUGAAAACAUCCAUGACCUUGCUGCAUCAUUGAAGCAACAUUACAAGUGACAGAAUAGAGUAAAUAAAAGAAACAUUAUUCCUGAGAGCUACAACUACCGCACAGUGGAAGAGGAGAGAGAACUAUUUGGUUCAAGAAGACAAACUAGAAAUCAAAACAUGGCUAUUCAACUAUCACAUAGAAUUCAGUGAGCAAAUAUGAUUUUCAAUAUUAUGAAAGCAAUAUAUAAACUUUUUUUUGACAAAAGUACUGUUGAAAGCAAUAUACAAACUUAAAUGUGUAUAUCGUAGACUAUUUCUCUCACAUACCUUGGCGCUAAAGAAGGCUUCAUUAAAUGGUAAUAUGCGGCUAAUGUUGAGUGCAUAACAUAGUUUCCAGUAUACUUUGACGACCUAGACAAGUAUAUAACAGAAAUUGUCAAGGGCAGAAUUAUACAGACUCCAACUAUUCCAAGCAACAGUAUUCCUUCGGAUGCUCCAUCAAUGUUCAGAAGGAACUGAGGGAGGGCAAUGCCCAUUUGAAGCCCCUGCAGGAAGCACAAAAAGAGGGAAAAUAAGAUUCAUUAAAAAUGAGUACAUUCCUUGCAUAGGAAAUGAUCAUGUCUCGGAAGAAAAAGUAGAAUAAUUCGAUGUGGACAUUUCAAUGUCCUCCUAGCUCCCACAUCUACAAAAUGAUGAUAGAAUUGGAUUACCUGCCGUCCAUCGGGAUGGCCAUAUUUUUCAAAAUUUUCCCUAGAUACCGGAUCUGUCAGAGCCUGAUAAGCCUUUGAGAUGAAUUCAACAAAGUAUGAGUGUGCCUCUGCAAUGGAAGGUUUGAACAGUCAGGGCCAAGUGGCUACAAAUAUACUUCGUCAGAUUAAUACCUAGGUGAACACAUGAUAAUGCUGAGUCUAACCUGGAUCUGGAUUUUUAUCGGGAUGAUACUGAAUGGAAAGCCUCCGAUAUGCCUUCUUUAUUUCAGAGUCUGAAGCUCCAUAUUCCACUCCAAGAAUACUGAAUGGCUCGAAUAUUUGGACCUACACAUCAAAAUGUUUAAACAAAGCACAAAGGGUAAUCCUAGAGGGCAGUAAUAAGGUAAUAAAUAUGGUGGUUUUAAUAAUGUGUUCUUAAGAUCAAUGGAAUUUGAACUUAUCCAUAUAUAUACGACCAUGAUAAUUUGACAUCAGUAAAAGAUACCUCAUUGCUCGUCUAAGUAAAACAUUUAUGAUAUGUGAAUUUGAAGACUUACCGAAUAUGACCCACUGAGACGAACACUAAAAAUAUUUUAAGAACAAGUGUUGUACUAUUAUAGAUAUAGCACUAGGUUCAAGAACAUGCAUAAAUUAUCUUAAAACCAAAUUAAAUCCUAUCCAAAGAAGGCUUAAAAGCACAGCAACACCUAAACGGGGCUGAUAAAUUUGCUAAAAAACAUAUUGCACUUUCUACAACUAUUACUACCAAUAGUAUCAUUUUUUGGAAAAAGGUUGCCACACGCUUGCAUUACCAACAAAGAUGAGGCAAUCAAAUUUAAGAAGAACCAGAUAAACAGAAAUUACCUCAGUGUUGAUAUGCUUGAUGUAAUAAACUAGAACAGCCAUGACGACCCACAGCAGUACAAGGGUCAGAUUACUGUACGUUGAGAAGUUUGAAAUCUGAAUAUCAGAAGAAGAAAAUAAAUAAAUCCGAUUACAGAAUUUAACUUCAAUAUUAAAACCCUUCACUAGGCUAAACAGAAACUUGCCCGCCUGAAUAUGGAUUUGUGAUAUUUCCCAGACCGAACGCAGACUGAACACUGGCAGUUGAUUUUGGCAGCCUUUUUCUUGAAAGCACCAAAUAAAUUGACUAUAGUGUAAGGAACUAGUGGCAGAGCCAUUAAUGUCAAGACAAAGAUGGGGAAAAGUGCGCUGUUCUCUUCAGAAGCCCCCAUAAUGAAUUUCUCUUAGAAUCUAGCAGUAUAUACUUCCUGAAAUAGUAAUUCAUAUUAGAGUCCAAACAUCCAAAAAGGGCCCAAACCAGCCUUAAUAUAUAUUUUGAAAAACUUACAUACUUAGAACCAAACUUUCUCAAACACUGCCUUAUAUCAUGACAAGUUCAGCUAAGCUGAACUAAGCUUAAUAUACUACUGAAAUGGCUGUUUCCAUUGAGAAUAACUCAUCAAAUAUAAGAGCAUGACAAAAUCCAAUUCAAGGAGGCCAAAGACAGUUGGUGAAAAAAGCAGAACCAAAUAUUAACUGCAAUGUUGUACAUAUUGGUUCAAUUUUUAAGUAUUUUCUUUUUUGAUAACAUCAACUUCAAGUAUUUUCAUCAUGAUAAGUUCAGAGCAGAACUGCCUAAGAGCAAUUCUGAUCCAUCAAAAGCAAGCUAGCGUGAUGAUAAGAAAUUGCAGAAGUUCAAUAACUCGUCUAUUCGAACUUUAUCAACACUCAUUUACCAUCACAAAAAUGAGAUAACAAAAGGUACUCCUGAAAAUGGUGAUCGCGAUUCAUGGAAAAUGCUCACAUAUCCUCCAAUUCACUAGCAAAAACUACUGCUCCAAUUUGCAUAACUUGAACAAAAAUUGCUAAACCCAUACCUACUUUUGUUUCGAACUUCAUCAAUCUUACUACACCAUGUCUUUUUAAAAAUUAUUUAAAAUUGUAGCGGUCGGGCCAGCUCUCGCGCACCACAACUAAUUCCACGAGAAACUUACCACCUCCCACAAAAAAAGGCCACUACAUAACUUUGUCUACCAAAGCUAGUACAAACAUGAGGAAAUCACCUAGUAUUUUAACCUGGAACCUCAUAGUUCUCAACCCACUAUCUCGACUAAUUCCACGAAAUGCAUGUCACCUCCCACCAACAACAGAUACCAGGUGACUACGUCCACCAAGGCUAUGACAAAUGGAAAGAAAUCACCUAGUAUUCAAACGUACGACUUCAUAGUUCUCAACUCACUUUAUUGACCACAACACAGAAACCCUUGGGUGUGUUAUCAAGAGCUCUAUCUAUCAAGACUAGACAAAUGGACAGAAAUCACCUAGUAUUUAAAAGUGUUCGAGUCAGCUCACACAUGCCUCAACUAAUUUCACACGACACCUACUACCUCCCACCAAGGUAACUACGUCCACCAAGUCUAUGACAUAUAGGAAGAAAUCACCUGGCAUUUCAACCUAAACCUCAUAAUUCCCAAUCCACGUCAUUAACCACUAGGCCCCCAGACCCUUGAGUUCGUUUCUAAACCAUGUUAAAAAUGAAAAAGAGUUUUUUUCUUUUUCUAUAAAUAAUGGUGGGUGGACCAGCUUUCAUGCACCUCGACUAAUUCCACAACAUGUCUGCCACCUCCCAUUGACAAUAGCUAACUAUGUCCACUAAGCCUAUGACAUAUAGGACGAUAUCACCUAGUAUUUGGACCUAAAAACUGAUAAUUCUUAAUCCACUUCAUUGACCACUUAUUGACACACCCUUGAGUAAGUUACUACUAUUCGUGUUAAAAAAGAAAAAGCUUCUUUUUCCUUUUUUUCUUUUUUUGAUAACAAUAAUAUCCAGACCAACUUCCUUGCACCUCACUUAACUCCACAACAUACCUACCGCCUACCACCAACAACAAGUACCACAAGUGCAAGGAAGCUCGAUCCACCGAGGCUAUAACAGAUGAAAAUAAAUCACCUAAUAUUUGAACCUGCGAUCUGAUAGUUCCAAAUCCACUUCAUUGACCCCCAGCCCGCACACCCUUAGGUGCAUUACUACACCGUGUUUGUUAAAAAUAAAAAAGAGCUUUUUUCUUUUUUUCUUUUUUUUUUGAUAAUAGUUGGGUCCAGGCCAGCUUCCCUUGCUAGCUUCCAUGCACCUCAAAUAAUUUCACAACCGACCACCUCCCACCAGCAACACCUGCAACAUGUACUAGACAACUCUAUCCAUCGAGACAAGGACACAUGAAAGGAAAUCCCCUAAUAUUUAACCGUUCUCAAUCCAAUUCAUAGACCACUACACCACGCCCUUAAGCAAGUUACUACACCAUAUAAAAAUGGAAAAAAAGAAAAGAGCUUUUUCAUUUCUUAAUAACAGCGAUAUCGUGCUAGCUCUCAACUAAUUCCACAACAUACCUGCCACCUCUCAGCGGCAACAGUUACAAAGUAACUAACCCUAUCCACCAAGUCUACAAAAUAUAGAAAGAAAUCACCUAAUAUUUGAACUUGAUACCUCAUAAUUCUCAAUCCACUUCAUUGACAUACUUUGACUAACGUCACAAGAUACCUACCACCUCCCCCCAUCAAUACCAACAACAUCUACCAGCUAAUUCUAUCCACCAGGGCAAAUACCCAAAGACAAAUAGAAAGAAACCACCUAGUAUUUGAACCUAAGACCUCAUACUUCUCAAUCAACUUCAUUAACCAUUAGGCCACAUCCUUCGGUACAUUCGCCAUGUUAAAAAAUUGAAAACAAGCUUCUUUUUUUAUUUCCUGAAAACCAUACCAGCUUUCACACGCCUCGACUAAUUUCACGAAAUACCUACCAACUCCAGCCUGCAACAACAAUAAGUACCAGGUUAAAACAAAUUAAAACAAAUCACCUAACCUGAGACCUCAUACUUCUCAAUCAACUUCAUUAACCAUUAGGCCACAUCCUUCGUUACAUUUAUUACGCCAUGUUAAAAAAAUGAAAAAAAGCUCCAGCUUUUACAAACCUCGACUAAUUUCACAGAAUAACUACCAACUCCAGCCCGCAACAACAAAAAUUACCAGGUAAAACAGAUGAAAACAAAUCACCUAAGGUUUAAACCUGAUACCUCAUAGUUCUCAAUCCACUUCAUUGACCAUUACGCCACGUUAAAAACGAAAAACACCUCAAUACCGAAGAUCAAUUUAUCAUAAUUUCACGAACUAUGUAUCUCAAUCACCAAAAAAAAAAAAAAUCAUCAAUUUAUUUGCCCUAAGCAAAAUAGUAUCAUAUAGAAACGGAAAAACGAACAAUUUGACUCACGGUGAAUGCAGAUCGCCGAUGUUGAAUGUAACCGGAAAGUUCGACGGAGGUAAUUCCGACGGUCGCCGGGGUAUCGGAAAAACGUGAAGCGGCUACCGGCGGAGGACGGAGGUAGGCGGCUUAAAUAUUUGCAAGUAAAAUGUUAGAUCGGCUACAGUUUGCUUUCGACUCAAAAGUAUAUUACAAGUUUAAUGUUAUUUGCUAUUAUGACCUCGGAAUUUAUAUUAGUUGUCUAAUUUAUCUCUAAUGUUACCUAAUAUAUGUUAUGACCCCAACGCUAUAUUUUUUGGAGCUUAAUUAUAGAAAAUCUCAAUUUUGGAUCUGUCGAGAUGAUUAGCUCUCGAUACAUUUUUUCGUUAUAAAAAUACAUAAUUAGCUCACGAUAUAUUUUUUGGAUUUUAUGUCUAUCGAGAUACAUAAUACAUACAACAAAGAUACAUUUUUUUCUUUCGUAAAGACAUAUGAUUAGCUCUAAUAUAUUUUUCUUUCAUUUUGGGUCUGUCGAGAUACAUGAUUAGAUUUCGAUACAUUUUUUUGUUAUAAAGAUACAUAAUUAGCUCACAAUACAUUUUUUUGAUUUUGUGUUUGUCGAGAUACAUAAUACAUACAAUAAAGAUACGUUUUUUCUUUCGUAAAGAUAUAUGAUUAGCUCUGAUAUAUUUUUCUUUCAUUUUGGGUCUAUCGAGAUACAUGAUUAGCUUUCAAUACAUUUUUUCAUUAUAAAGAUACAUAAUUAGCUCACGAUACAUUUUUUUGAUUUUGUGUUUGUCGAGAUACAUAAUACAUACAAUAAAGAUACAUUUUUUUUCUUUGUAAAAAUACAUAAUUAUCUUCCAAUACAUUUUUUUUUAUUUUGGAUCUGUCGGGAUACAUAAUUAGUUCCUGAUAUAUCCAAUGAAGAUAAAUAUUUAGUUGGAAUUUUUAUAAUUACGUUGUAAUGAUGGGGAUUUGUGUAAAUAUGAUAUGUUUCAAUAGAAAAAAUGUAAUUUUUUUUCUUUGAAUAAAUAAUAAAAGAAAAGUUGAUCUUAGAGUGGAAGGCGCGGAGAACAAGAAUUAGGGUAAAAGUUUAGUAGAUAUGAGUGCGUUUAUACUAAUAGAUAGGAGUGCCUUGUCUUGCUGCCCUUACUAGCUAGUAGUCGUAGGACUACUCUUUUAGUUUCUUAUUCUUUGGUCUAUGUUAAUAUCUAGUAAGUAUUUCAUAUAGUUCAGUUGCAGUAAUAUCUGUUGUAGUAAGGUCUAUUACUAUCUGUUGUUUUUGUUACUUCCGAUUAUCUCUUGUACUUUCUUUACGUCUUUUUCUAGCAUGUUCUUGUCUUGAGCCGAGUUUCUUUUAGAAACAGUCUAUCUAUCUCAUAUUUGGGGUAGAGGUAAGAUCUGUGAAUACUCUAACCUCCUCAGACCCCACUUCGUUAGACUACACUGGUUAUGUUGUUGUGUUAUUGAAUAGCUGAACUUGCACGUGGAUGUCGAUUUUGACCCAUAAAUUGUGUACCCCGUCCAACAUUCAAAUUUGGACGGAUUGACUCGAUGACAUAUGUGUUAACAUAUCGAAAAAUUAAGUGCACACGAAGCAUCUUAUCUAAAAGCUUGAGUUCAACAACAAGCGAUGAAAAAGACUUUUUUGAGUUAGCGAGUUGAGUUAUGACUUACUUUCUAUCCAUCUAUAUAUUGAUCCAAGUAAACUUAGGGACAAUUUGGGUCAGCCCAUGGGCCCAUUAGGGCCCAUUGUAUGUAUAUGUCUACCCAUGAAUUAUUAUUACCUCAAUUUCAAUGACAAAAAUGUAAUAUUUUUUUUGUUUGACUAAAUAAUAAUAGAGAAAAGAAUAAUCAAAGGUAUGCGUGGAUGUCGAUUUUGACCCAUAUGUGUACCCCGUCCAACGAUUCAAAUUUGGAGGGACUAACCCAGCGAUGUACGUGUUAAACGGAUAAAAAAUAAGUGUACGCGAAUCAGACUAUGACUUACUUUAGAUCGAUAUUGAUCCAAAUAAACUUGGGACAACACAAGGGUUAGGGCACUAUUCGCCCUGGAGUGGUUCGGUCAUCAAGGUACUUGUGGGGUAUACGAUUAGAAUGGUGGUUUGUUGUGGUUGUACAUAGUGUUAGUGUUGAUUUAACGAAUAAUGGUUGUACAUAGUGGUGUAAAACUGUAUAUUGUCGGUGUAUAUAAAAGUUAAAUUUAUUUCGAUUGAUUUUUGAAAGUCAUUUAAAGCAUCAUAUGGACCAUGGGCCAUGGUGUGUUAUGAAGAGAGUUUUUGGAACAAAUAAAGGUCCAAAUUAAUAAGAAGUUUUGAAUUUGAGUUUGAAAAUGAAAAAAUUCUUGGAAUAGAAGCGUUUUUCUCUAUAAAAUGAACAUAUCUAAUAAUGUGAAUUCAGAUUAGUCUAGCUAGCGAACUUUCGAGGUGAAUGGUUAAUCAAAAGAAACUUGGUCGAAGAAGUAGUAGUGAACCAAGAUACGUAAUGAAACUGUUCAAUAUUUUUUCAUCCUUAAUCAGAUAUCUCGAAUUUGAAUUUCAAAAAUAGAAUAUUUUAUCGUAGGAAGCAUUUUGCUCCUCAAAAUGAUCAUAUCGAUUGACGUAAAUUUAAAUUAAUCAGGUCAAUAAACUUUGAACUAAUUUUCUACAAGUAGAUAUAGAAACAUAGAUGAUAGAAACAUCAAUAUAAAUAAUUUCCAUUAGCAAUGAUGAUUGACUUAUGAUCAUCCAUAUUCUUGACACACAAAUUAUAAUGUUAUAUUAAUAAUUAAGGGCUAAUCUUUAAGCAUGUGAUUGGAUUAAUAACUAUGACUCAAACAUAGUUAACAAUCGAACUACAAUAAGACUUAAAUAAGUAAUAAAAACCACUUUAAUUCCAACACCCAUAAAAAAUAUACAACACCCAAUGCAAUAUAAUUGUUAUAAGAAUAACACAUUUCUAUGAGUUUCUCAAAGGAGCAUCCUUUCAUACUAGACAUCGAUGCGUUUUCAUAUUCUGAAAAUGGUCAAUGAUUGAAUCGUUGCUUAUAUUUACAAAUACAUCCUUUUUAAUGUAACAAACUAAACAAGCAAUUAAAAAAUGCAUCACCAAUACUGUUACACAACUCAAUUCUUGAUAUGCUUCAUGGAUGAAAAAAGCUUUCUCUAUGAUUGCAGUAGCAAGAGAACUGAAAAAACUGUCCGUUGAGUGUGCGUGUUCUAGCUUAUAUUUAUUAACCGUUUGGUCAUGAAAAUUAUUAAUUUUUUCCGAAAAACUAUUUCACUUUAGCGAAAAAAGUGAAAACAAUAUGGGUUUGGCCAUAAAAAUUACAAAUCCAAUUCCGAAAUUAUAUUUGAAAAAGUUAAAUGAAGGUGACAAAGGUACACAGUAAAAUGGCUAGAGCAUUAAAUAUAAAGGCAAAAAAAUAGAAGAGGGAUGCUUGCAAGGUGUUGAACCUGUGACGUCACGGACCAAGAGACCUUUCAUCUAUUUUUUGAACCAGUGCACCCAAAGAAACUUUGAUAUUAUGGGUGCACAAUUUAAUAUUUUACCACGUUUUUACACUAUCUAUACGUAUAUAUACAAUUUUUUAAAAAAAGUUACCGGGUGCAAGUGCACCCUCAUGGAUCCACGUGGGUCCGCCUCUGAAAAUACCAUACGUGGUGAUUAUAACAGGAAUACAAGAUUUGAUGAUCAAAUUUAGAAAGAUCGAUGUAUACACCACUAACACUGUAGGCAUAUAAAUAGUUAGAUGGUGAUCAUAUUCAAAGGCAAAUUCAUGAUUUCAAAAAGACGAAUGCAUCGUUGCUUUUAAGAUAAGAUCUAAAAUUUUAUAAUAACGUCAACUCGAAUGAUCACAGAUUUACAUAACUUGUUUUUUUAUACGUAAAUCGCCCCUGAUUGCAUUAGUGCUUUAUUUACUGCUAAGUAUAUGAAUAUAUAGAUCUCUAAGUGAUGAGAAGAAAAAAUGAAACUGAUUUUAAAUAAGAUUACAAUAAAGAAAGAGGGGGAAUAUGCUAAGGGUAAAGCGUCAAUUUUAAUCUACCGAUAGAUUCAUCAGGAGGCAGUUCACAUUGAUUAUAUCAUCUCUCCAUCUUCCAAGCCCUCGUUCCCACCACUCUACACCUUUACCCCCUACACCCGGUCACAUCCAUGAAAGUAGGAAAAACAAGUUAGACAAGGGGCAUUCCACAUUGAUUGCAUCAUCUCUAUCUUUCAACGCACCUGAUCUUCUCUCCCAAUACUGUAGAUCUCAUUCACGACCACCACCCUACGCCUUUAUUCUAACCCUUACCUGUCAGUGAAAAUAGGAAAAAAAAAAAGUAAUACACCUCAUCUUCUCCCCUAACCCUGUAGCCCCUGGCCCCACCAUCCUUACACCUUUAGUUCCAAUUCCACCUCGAUCGUAUAUAAAUGUUCUUAGGAUGAUAUUUUUGUUUACAUAACGAACUCAAGAAAAUAAGUAACGAUUCACUUUUCUCCCUGGAAAAUAUUUGUUUUCGUAGUAAACACACCUAAGAUAGAAAUAAAAUUUGCGUAAACUAUUCCCUUCAUAUAGUCCAAUUUAGAGUCGUCAAUAUGGGUCAGACCUACUGGUCUAGCCCGACCCGGCUUGUAAUUCUUGUAAUUUGAUGGAGUUGGACUUUAGUUUUUGCAGCCCAUUUAAGAAUAGGGCUUUUUAGCCCGGAUCGAAUAAGCCUGUGGCCCGUGGGGCUUGAGCAAUGUGGGUUGGGCUAGCUCGUGAGCCGGCCCGUAAGUCAAAUACAUGCAACUAAUUUAGAUUGCUUAUUAGUAUUUUUAUUUGGUUCGAAGGAUAUCAUGUCAAAAGUUCUUUAAUUUUGCUAUUAGGAGUAUUUUUUGGGGUGUUGGAGGCUUAAUUAACAAGUAUUAAUACUAUGUAAUAUUGACUGAUAAUAUUUAUGUUUAUUAACAUUCUAAAAUUAAAUUAUAAAAUAUUAUUUUUAAAAAAGUGGGCUGGCCCGUGAGGCUCGUAGCCCACAAAGUAAUGGUGUGGGCUUGGUGUUUUUUGGCCCAUCAUUUUGAUGGGCCAGUCCAGCCUGGCUCGUCAAAUUUAAAGCCUGUAUGGACAAGCCCGAAUGAACUGGGUUGACUCAUAUUGACAGCUCUAGUCCAAUUGUGAAAUUCUAGUCUAAUGGCAAAGUUAAAAACUUUAUGGGUAAAACUCUCCUACUCAUUCAAGUGGCACUUAAAAUCAAGAUAUUAAUCAGUGGCAUCUUUUAGAGUCGUUUGGUGUGAGGUAUAAGGGUAAGGGUGUUAAGUGGGUCGGGCCGGGUCAACCCAAAACCGGCCCGUGAUAGCUAAUCGGGUUG
rnacentral:lncRNA from 1 species